AUUUUCAAUAACAAAAAAAAUGACUUUUUAUUUACGAUUUCGUUUUCGUAUUUGUCGACGGACGGAACUGGCUUUACAGAGUAGAGACCUUUUUCUAUCAUAGCCAUGUUAAUCGCAUCAUCAGUUGUCGAAUGUUAGACAACUGAAUUGGCCCUACAGACAGGCAGCACCGCUGAGUUCAAGGAUUCGAAGGAUUUAGUCAAGUCGAAACGAAGCCACAUUAUUGAUUGCCCGCUUAGGUAAAACCGCUUUCCAAGACGACGAUGUCGACCCAUGCGGACGUUACGAAUUAUAUUAACCAUUUUUUCUAUGGCAGCAGGAAAAUGGCUUUGUUGGCUAUCUAUCUGACAUAUUGCCGUCUCGACAGUAUCUCUACGGACGCUUACAAAUAUCAAAAUAGCACAUAUCCGAACAUGAACUUAGGAAGACCUAAGCCCUCUCUAUUUGUGCUCACACAUUACCUUUAAUGGUACUAUUGACAUACGAUAUUGUUUGGCAUAAUCUCUUUCAGUUCAUCGACUUGUACGUAUAACAGUUUAUUUGUGAAUAGUUCGAAACGUAUUGUGUUAGACCGCUUUGACAAUAAAUAAUCUCCAGCAAGACGACGGAAUAAAUGAGGAGAGAAUAGUACAUAUCAGUGGCCUUCGACGUAUCGCAUAACCACCCGCAUAGGAUUUCUAAAUAUGCGUACUAACAGCUACAGCACAUUGUGGCUAUCUAAAAUUAAAUCAGAUCUUGGUAGGUCAGAGCGCCAUAUAUUGCAGUUGGCAAACGCACUUCGAAUAUCCGUCCAAGAUCAUUUAUAUGCAAGACAUGUACAUUUCAUGUAUGUUGGCUCAAUAGCAGACGAAACAUAAUCAGAUUUAUGCGGCUGAUAUAGCCAUCGUCCUCUGUGUACUCUAUGACUUCAUGAAUCAGUAGAUCGCAAACAACUCCAUGUGUUCGUACCACAAUCAGACCGAUAUCCUGGUCAUCCCAAAAAUAUUCAUUAUCAUCCUAUGCGUACCUAAGCAUAUUUCAGUUUUUCCUCAGUCCGAACACCCCACACAUCUGAAGAACAGAUCUAUUAUUUGCAUUCAUCUUCAAACUCAGUGUUUGUGCUGAACCGGUACGUCACUGGGUGAAGUCUCCGAAACUCAACAAUUCUCAAUUUUGCAUUACAUACUAAUAGCUAAAACUAAAAACCCCGUCGUGUGGUGAUCAGUGUCCCUGAUGGUGCCGGGAAACGGCAUAAAGCUCUAAAUCAGAACGGGGGAUGAGCCGCUAUCAAAUCUCAAUGUGAUCAUCUUGCUGUUUUGGCUACAAUCAAUAAGCCACCUUUACGCCCGCCAUUCUCUCCGUAGGUUUUGCGACGUAACCUAUCCCACAUCAUAUCAUCCUCGUGGCGGAGUAUCGGCAACGGCGCCUCAGUACGGCUUGUUUCCUAUCGCUUGCUGUUGAGGGGGCGUCACAUAAUCGCUCAAUAGUGGCCAGCCAACCGGUCGAUUUGGUCAAAUCGCAUGAUUUUUGUGGUUUGCUCCAUUUGACUUGGCAUCGGCUAAUUCUGGUUUAAAGAUGUCGCUUCAAUCGAACUCAACGGCCGCUGUCAAUCGCUUCCAUCACCAGCUGUUUUUCUCGCCUCGUUCAAAUCCCAUUGUUGUUAGAGCCAUCGUUGCUUUUCAAUAGCGGCCAAUGAUAAGCCCCAUAGCAAUGGACUCAACUCAGUUGGCGCGCACUGCCGUGUGCGCGAUGGGGAUCGCGCCGUUAGCUCUUACCAUGCUGGCAUGUAAGAGAUGGCGAUGGCGAUGGCGGUGGCAGCACGGCCGCUGCUGGAGGAGGUCAAAAGCAUCAAUGGCAGAGAAUAGGGCAGUGCCAACGGCAUUUAAUGCGGCAGCAGCAAUGACCGACGCGUUAGUAGCGAAUAUAAAGAAUCAACGCCCAACAAACAACAAGGGACUCUCGGCGUGUUUGCUGUUGCCCUUGGCCUGCCUGUUCCGUCGAACUGUUUUGUUGCUGCUGCUGCUGCUGUUGUUGUUGUUGUUAUUGUUGAGAGAGCGCGAGAGCCCGUGUUAAGCAGCGGCACCACGUUACGAAAAUACUCGGAAGGCAUGGCCUUUUGAACUCUUCGUUUCUCACCCAUGGCGGCUGUUAUUGUUUCGUAUGAAUGUUUAAAUCAGCCUUCGGCCGGCAUCUUAAUCGAGUUCCGUAUUUCGAAUGGGCUUAUAAUGGCUGGCGUAUUCCACAACGGAACCAGAAUGAACACGUUAACUCUGAUGUACAUGUGUUAGGACGACCCGCCCAUCAUAUUGACGUGCGUCGAUUGAAAGCAGACCCGUUAUUGGUAGACGGGCUGACAACUCGCGAAGCUACAUACGUUCGUAUAAGCCAAUGGAGUGAAAGGGUAUCGUGUGAAUAUGGCGGAUGUGACGCAUUCGUUGUCGUUGAAAAUAACCUAAGAAGCAGGAAAGGAUACACAUCAAAAGGCAUGAUGAUUCGAACCGCACGAUAGCGGAGCGGGCACUAAUCGAGAGCUUUACGAUUGUUAACUGGCGAGUUGUGAAGUGUGGUGGUAAAAUCGAACCAUCAUGUUGAUUUACUGCCUCAUGGACUCGAUCAACAUGUCGCUCAUUACCCGUGCACUCGAUGAGCAUGCCGCUAAAUGUGUCGGCUAUCGGAAUUUCCAAGAACUUCGAUUGUUUUUCUGAAGGAAUAGAAGAAAUGAAAGAAUACAGUGCUAGCAAUUUUUCCGAUAUUUACCAAUUGGCCGUCACUAGCAAAUGUAAGCUACUGGACGUCACGAUGGAUCGCAAUCAGUUUGUUUAGCGUCAUUAUGUAACACAAAUCAGUUCGACGGUUUCAUACCGACAGAUUGUGUAUACACUUGAUGCUUUGUGUAUAAAGUCAUCUUUCUUUUCGCGCUUUGCGAUGCCGCUCGUUUGUUAUAUAUCUGUGUAGGACGGCAGGUAUUAUAUCUGCGUACGCGAAUGCGGGCCAACUUCAGAAUUCAUUGACAUAACGUCAGUCACAUUAGUUUCAUUCAGUCACAUUAAUAACAUUUUAAAUAAUCUGUGCACUUUCGGUUUACGCGUUCCUUUCUAAAAGUGUUGCUUUUAUAUUGAAGGUCCAGCGACGUAAUACGUUUGCGUAGUUGGUCUAAACAGCGAAAACGAUUCUAUAUUCCUUUGAGUUGUAUUUCGGACUCAUCUGAACAAAUCUAAAUUGUUCUCUGCCGUUCAGUUUGUUUGAAUAAAACUUACAAUGUUCAAUAGCAAAUCAGGCUGUACAACUUUUUCCUAGUAAAGGACUGUUGAUGAUGACAACAAACGACGCUUGUCCAUCAUUGCGUUCACCUUUCAAAAACGUGUAAUUUUUAUAGUAAAUUAUAUAGUAUGUAUAAUAAUAAUAAUAAUAAUAAUAAUAAUAAUAAUAAUAAAACAAAUGUGAAUCCAAAGGCGAAUAAUUCACAUUUUUGUGAACACUAAUUUGUCUAAGUAGGUGAAGCUGUUAGAUACAGAUAUUCAAGUAGUUCAGCUAGAAUCUAUGGAAACGUAUCAGGAUAGCGCGGAGUAGGUUCUAUCAAAGCGACAUAAGGAGUGCC